UACGGAGGGUGCAAGCGUUAUCCGGAUUCACUGGGUUUAAAGGGUGCGUAGGUGGGUCUGUAAGUCAGUGGUGAAAUCCCCGAGCUUAACUUGGGAACUGCCGUUGAUACUAUAGAUCUUGAAUAUCGUGGAGGUAAGCGGAAUAUGUCAUGUAGCGGUGAAAUUGCUUAGAUAUACAUAGAACACCAAUUGCGAAAGGCAGCUUACUACACGAUCAUUGACACUGAGGCACGAAAGCGUGGGGAGCAAACAGG
rnacentral:rRNA from 1 species